GUGAAGCAGAUUUGCUGUGCUUUCAGUCUCCCAUCCCAGAUGGGAAAAGGGAGGGACGUUUAUUUGCAGCCGGAGAGGGAGAAUGUUAAUGGGUAAAAAUGAAAGUACAUUUCCCCCCAAAGCGUGAGCCUGCCCACCCAUCCUUUUCCGGCUCCCUCUGCUGUGACCACAGUGACCGACCCCGGCAGCAUGAAACAAGGAGCCCUAGCAGCCUGGGCCCUCCCUGGAACCUGGCAGUGGUCCAGUAAAUGAGAAGGACACGUGAAGACACAGCAAGAAGAUUGGUCAUCUGCAAGAGAAAGAGAGGUCUCACCAGGAAUUGAAUUUUCUAGACCUUGAUCUUGGACUAUUAGCCUGCAGAAU